CAACUUUCAACAACGGAUCUCUUGGCUCUCGCAUCGAUGAAGAAC
rnacentral:rRNA from 1 species